rnacentral:misc_RNA from 1 species
UGUUAAGAGGCGCGGUGUCGGUGUGCUUGUAUUUGAGGAAGAGAGUUGUCCGGAGGUGGAGGGCGGCCAGGAAAUCCGACGCUCACCCGGGCAUGGGAACGGGUUUCGGCCCGGAUUCUGGUGCGGUGCAGGGUAGGCAGGUCUGUAUAGAUAGUCUAGGGUAGGUACAGGGUAGGCACAGCGUAGGUAGAAGUCUGGUAUAUAGUAUGGGCGGGUGUAGGGUAGGCUCAGACACCGAUCCGUUUCGCGCCCUCACCUUUGCUCGGAAAACGACAAUCUUGGCCGGGAUGCAGGUCUAGGGUAGGCUGAAUCUAUGAUUAUAUAAGCUAUACUGCUCUAGGGUAGGUGAAGAUCCCAUAGAAAUCUGAUCAGAAUUGGUGACGAAGUGAUUUUGCUCGGAAGAUGCAGAAAAGUGUAACGCAGAACUGUAUGUGGCUUUGCAAAAGUGAGUGCGAAAUUGAAAAGUCGGACUUCCCGAGCGGGUGGGAGCACGUUUGAGACGUCAUCGGAUGCGCCUCAUCGAGACGAGCACAACGGUAUAGCCCACGUGUCUGCACGACUCCUGUGCGUCCGUCCAGGGC